rnacentral:rRNA from 1 species
UACGGGGGGGGCAAGCGUUGUUCGGAAUUACUGGGCGUAAAGGGCGCGUAGGCGGCCUGCUAAGUCGGAUGUGAAAUCCCUCGGCUCAACCGAGGAACUGCAUCCGAUACUGGCGGGCUUGAGUCCGGGAGAGGGAUGUGGAAUUCCAGGUGUAGCGGUGAAAUGCGUAGAUAUCGGGAGGAACACCAAUGGCGAAGGCAGCUUGCUGGGACGGUACUGACGCUGAGACGCGAAAGCGUGGGGAGCAAACAGG